AAUAUGGUUACGUAUGUAAUUAAAGAUGAUCUCAGAACUCUUUUUAUUGUGUCAAAAAAUGCAUGCAAACAUAGAAAUAUAGGUAAAUACUUUUCACAGCACUAAACAACAUCCUUACCAAUAUAUCAGCCUAAUUUACAUAUUGAAAUCCUACACAACAUUCCAGCUCAGCUGCACUCAGAGAGAGAGAGUGUUAGUGUGUGUAUGUGAGGGGGGAGUGUGUGUUUGAGAGUCUGUUUGUUAGAAGUGUGUGUGGUGGGUGUGUGUGGGUUUAUGAGUGUACGAGAGAGGCAGACAGAGAGUGUGUGUGAUGCAAGGGUGCAUGUGUUUGGAAAAAAAGUGUGUGUGUGUAUUAGUAUGACUGUGUGAGUAAGUAUAAUGUGUGUGUUUGUGUGUGAGAGAUAUCCUGUGUAUGUAUGAGUGAGUGUAUUUUGUGUGUGUAAGAUUAUGUGCGAUACUGUGUGUGAAUGCGUGAGUGUAUAGUGUGUGUGUGUGUAAUACUGUGUGUGUGUGUGUGUGUGUGUUUGUGUGUAGUGUUGGAGCACUGCUGCUCCACUCAUCAUCCCUCCACACACAGGAUUCCCGCGCCUGGUUCACACGGGCUGUCCGCUGUGUAUCACGCAGCUUUCACGCAGACUAUCAGCCCCUGAUCACGCGUCCACUUCCUCCUGAUUGGCUGCCGCCUCCCCACACCGCGGCCUGUGAUUGGUCGGCGGUGAAAGCACGCUCUCUCGUGCUGUGAAAUGUCUGAAUUAAAGUGAUAACAGUGGAAGCGCGUGCCUCCAUCCCCUCAGUCCGCCCUGACGGCCCUUUAAACGCGCGCGAGCAGCUUUUACAGGGUUACACUCCGCUUUUACACACUUUUUUUUCAUAGCUUUCAGAUAGAUAAUGCUUUUAGCCUGACGACAUGACUCAUUUGCAUCGUGGCUCUUCCCUGCAUAGCAAUGAUGUUCUGCUGGAUGGAAGCCUGGAGGACUGGACGGAUCUGCAGGCGGUGGAAGCGCUGGUAUCUAUGAGGAGUAAAUGUAAAGGUAGAAGUUUCCGGCGUAAAGAGCCUCGGCCCCUGACGCCCUCCUCGGAUUCCUGUGAGGAGUCGUUGUGUUCAGGUCCUGCUGAUUUCCAGGACUCUGCUUUGACGUUCCAGUGCAUGACCCCGCCCUACAGCCCUCCAGCGACUGAAGCAGUUCAGAUCAGCACACUGGAGGGUUUGGAUCCCGGCGCUCGACCCGCCUCCCCGCCGCCAUCGGGCCGAGCCAUCAGUGUGAUCCGACACACAUCUGACCCGCUGCCGUGUCAGGACGACCGGACCUGCACCCUUAACCUCCAACCCAGCCCUCCCAGCUUCAGUUUCCAGUCUGGCAGCGAGACGGGGGCAAAUCAGGACUCUCCGAAUCCCGGCACCCCCACCCUGCCCAGUGCCCCACCAGCCCCACCCUCCGUAACUCUACCCAGCCCUGGAGCCCCCCCUGCCAG
rnacentral:lncRNA from 1 species